GUUGAACUUUGGACAGGGAACGUCUCACCAUGGAGCACCAUGUUCUCUGACCCAGAGCAAGAGAAGGAGCAGGAAAACACAAACUAUGGAGCAUAAAAGAGUGGAGGAGGAGAGAGACGAGGCCAUGAGGAAGUUGAACCAGUUCCAACAUGGUAGGUGAUCCUCACUAACCAGCCAAUCACAUCACAGCAUUCAUUAGUGUCACUAACCAGGAAGUAAACAUGAACUCUGUGUGAUGUAAUG
rnacentral:lncRNA from 1 species